CUGAGAGAGAAAGAGCCGGCCGACCCUGGAAGCCUACGAACUUUGGUUCCGCUUGCGGGGGAGGAGGAGGCUGAGCUACCAGGAAACCGCGGGGCCACCUGAAGAGAGCCGAGCUAUCAAGGAGGUGCCCUGCUUAUAUCAUAAAGAUAGCCCAAUCCUGGGGAGAAAGAAUCUCAAUCUCUGAAAAUAAGAGGAAGAAAAUAAACCUAAGAAAAAAAACUUUAAAUUGAAAGUUCUGAUUUUGGAAGUAUUUGAAUUAUGUCAAAGGCGAUAUUCAACACACUCAGCAACCUACAGUACAGCAAGGCACCAUCCAGUCAGAAUGGACACCCUGAAACAACUCUGAAACACCACCAGCCUGAAACAACACUGCGGCUAGAUCUCUGUGUCUCAGCUGAAUGUCAGUCCUGAAUUAUACUGUGUGGUCAUGAUGAGUUUUAGGCAAUUGACAACCAGUUGCAAGUUGACCUGAAGGCGAUCAGCUUUGAAGGCAGAGAUGAACAUGAUUUCACCAGGAGGCACUGCAGGCAGCUCGCAAAUCACCUUGCUGAGCCAGUUUUGCAGAGAAAGAGUUAUCAAUGUCAUGGGGGCAUUAGUUUUUCCACAUUUACUUUAUGCAUUCAAUAGGCCCCUGUAAGGAAUUUCUGGCUGUUUGGCAGUGGCCUAAAUGUACUUGCUUCUCUGUGGUCCAAUUCCCCAGAUACGAUUCUUGCAAUUCAAGUAAGGGUUAGUUAGGUUUCCUUCAGUUUAUUCCAAUCUAUGUUCUGACUGCAACUUUUCAGAGUUCUUCAGGAAGUUUCUGACAAAAAGGAAAGCCUUUGGCAAGUGUCUGAGGAAGUAGACAACAGAUCAAGAUUCCCCUCCCCAAAGGAUAUAUUAGUCACUUAUGGAGAAAUUCCAAGACCUCCUUGAAAAUAAAAUAUUAAUGAAUAUGAAAGGGGGAUCCCCCAUUGGAAUCAGGAGAGAGCACAUAACAUGAAAAUCAUAUGGAGGGGCGCCUGGGUGGCCCAGUCAGUUAAGUGUCCGACUUCAGUUCAGGUCAUGAUCUCACGGUUUGUGGGUUUGUCAAGCCCAGUGUCAGACUCCGUGCUGACACCUCAGAGCCUGGAGCCUGCUUCGGAUUCUGUGUCUCCCUCUGUCUCUGCCCUGUCCCUGCUCGUGCUGUCUGUUUCUCUCUCAAAAAUAAAUAAACAUUAAAAAAAUUAAAAAGAAAUAAAAAUAAAAGCAUGUAGAAAUAAGGACACAGAAUUGUUCAGAGAAAUAGAUAAAACGGAACCUUGAAAACUGCACAUUUCUACAUUUGGACAUCUAGAAAACUUUUGAAAAAUAAUAUAAUACCAGGCACCAACACAUUUCUAGGGAAAGCUAAAUCUGCUAAGUAUUUCUAUAAUUUCAACAUAUACUUGAGAUGAAUUGUUGUUUCUGCCAUUGGCAUCCAAAGAUAAAGUUCUUUCCCAAAAUGGCACCCUUGCAUGCUGAGCCAUACAAGCAAAAAGGACAGUAUGAAAACCAUCUAUUUUUCUUGUGAUGACACACGCGGUCUCCUCAACUGCCAGCACUUCUCUCUGGUUUGAUCCCUUAAUGUAAAAAAAGAGUUGGGAUAGUUGUCUAAACUUCCCCCGCCAUACUAUAGGUCUAGAAAAAUCAACAAUGAGGAACUAAGCAACACAGACAGAGCUGGUUUGAAACUCCUGCCUGCUUAGGGAGAAGAAUAACUAGCUUAGCAGGGUUUUGUGGUCACUUGUUUUCCUUCCAAAGAGUAGCUCAAACUCUCCCAUCACACAAAUUCAAUCUACACCCAUCAAAUAAAUUCAAUGGGAAUCCAAGGAAAGAGAAGAGGUAGACAAAACAGACUGAAGUAUAACUUUUCAGUUCCCAAAUGUCUCAACUACUUUAAAAUUUUUCCUUUCAUGGGGCAGGAAAGAAAUUUUUUUAAUGAAAAAAAAAAUCCUUUCACUUCAUCACUUCUUAAAACCCCAUGGAAAUUAAACAAACAAAC